GUGCUUGGUUCAGUAGCACAAAUAGAAAAAUCAAAAUGGUACAGAGAAGAUUAGCAUGGCCCUUGCAUAAGAAUGACACAUAAAAACCAAAUAGAGCCUUCAAUAUUU
rnacentral:snRNA from 1 species